rnacentral:rRNA from 1 species
AAUGAACGUUGGCGGCAUGGAUUAGGCGUGCAAGUCGGGGGAAUCCCAGCAAUGGGGGAACCGGCGUAAGGGGCAGUAAGGCAUGGGUACCUACCUUGGGGUUCGGGAUAGCCAUCAGAGAUGGUGGGUAAUACCGGAUGACGUCGUGAGACCAAAGAUUCAUCGCCCUUAGAGGGGCCCAUGUGAUAUUAGCUAGUUGGUGGGGUAACGGCCCACCAAGGCGAAGAUGUCUAGCGGGUGUGAGAGCACGACCCGCGCCACUCGCACUGAGACACUGGCGAGACACCUACGGGUGGCUGCAGUCGAGGAUCUUCGGCAAUGAGCGCAAGCUUGACCGAGCGAUGCCGCGUGAGCGAUGAAGGCCUUCGGGUUGUAAAGCUCUUUAGUGGGGGAGAAAAGCCGCAAGGUGUGAUCUAUCCCAAAAAUAAGCACGGGCUAAGUUCGUGCCAGCCGCCGCGGUAA